rnacentral:rRNA from 1 species
UACGGAGGGUGCAAACGUUGCUCGGAAUCAUUGGGCGUAAAGCGCACGUAGGCGGCCUGUUAAGUCGGGUGUGAAAGCCCUGGGCUCAACCCAGGAAGUGCACUCGAAACUGGCGGGCUUGAAUAUGGAAGAGGGUCGCGGAAUUCCCGGUGUAGAGGUGAAAUUCGUAGAGAUCGGGAGGAACACCAGUGGCGAAGGCGGCGACCUGGGCCAAUAUUGACGCUGAGGUGCGAAAGCGUGGGGAGCAAACAGG